UGGUGGUGGCGCUGGUGAUUUUUUCGCGCCAGGAAAAGGGGGAAAACAGGAAUAGAAGAAACGCCGUUGCUUCCAAUUUUCGGUUUCUAAUGCGGGAUCUGCUUGUUUCUCUCACAGCAAGACACAAAACUUGCUUGCGCCUGGGUUUGUGUGGCCCUUGCUGAGCUUUCUGCCUCUCUCACACCCUUUUGUGUAUACGUGCGUGCUGAGAUGACCCUUUCACCCUGACACGCGGCUCACAAUACCGAGCGCGGUGAAAAAAAAGCGAUGAUUUUCUUUUUUUCAAAUGGCCCUUCCCGGCACGAUGCGUGCCGCUGCGGACUUCCGCGACGCGAACAACCCGCUUAAGUUACGGAUGACUGCAAGCAUGCAGUGGACAUCGCUGUUGACCUUGGCAAUGCACUUAGCGACAAGGGUGUCGAUUGGCGUCUGCUAGCUCUCCGAGGCCCUUUUCAAGCGCAAGAAGGCCCUCUAGGGAGACUGGCUCGCCUGUAGUCGCAGUGACGCUUUUUUGAGGAGCUGCAAGGACUCGAUAAAUUGCGUAAAGCGCAUGGCUUGCUCAUGAAGGCGCUGAACAUGGAUGGUGCGGGAACGAUGACGCCGAGGGACUCUCAGCUCAUGUACGACACCUGGGUUUACCCCUGCCCCUACCCGAAAGCAGAGCAUGCUGAACAAGUGGCUGCGACUUAUCGGACAGUGCGGUUGCUGCUUCGUGGUGGGCCCCGGCGCAGGGGCCCUGGCGAACAAUGCCUGCCCCCACAAGUGCCGGAUCACCGGCGCCGGUUUCACCAUGUACACGGGUGUGCGGUAUCUGGUGCAGCAGAACUUUGUGAACCAGAAGGUGCAGGGAGGACACCUUCCGCGAUACAGUGUGUCAGCUGGCGGACCUAAACAGGGCCAGAUGAGGUCAACAGGGAGGGCGUCAGCGCCCUCGUGUAAGCAAAAAGAAAACAAAAAACUGCAUGCGCUUCAUCGAAACGAAGCUCGGCCCCGGAAGACUAGCGCCAGGGACGGGGGGGGGAUGGGCUGCCGGCUACACCUCACUCGCGCUGGGCUUCGCGCGCGGCAUUUGUGUGGUUGAAGGUACCGCACCUGUAGCCUCCCGACCUUCCGUUGCUCUACUAGCUGGGCGGGCGGUCAGCUAUUUGUCUUCAUGCUUUCCCCCGUCUCUUAUCGUUUUAUGGGUGUGCUCCCUUUUUUUUCGUGUUGCUUUUUCCCCGCACUGCAUCCCUCGUGCCUUAUCAACGAACACGCCCACUUGUUGUUAUGGUGUUCCAUUUCGUUGCUGUUGCCCCGCGGACACCUGCGGCACCCCGGCAGAGCCUCUACCUUUCCCUGCGGCUUCCCGCUCACGCGCCCACAUGCAAGGGAGCGGGGGAAAGGGGGAGGGGCGAGGUCUGUGACUGGGGUGGCCACAGGGUCCGUCAGCGCGAUGCGCCUUAAUAGGCGUGCCGCCUCGCUUAGAGAUCAGUGGUGGGCCUGGGUGAUUGAGGCAUCUCAAGAACUCACACGAUGAAGUAAGCGGCAUGCAACAGCGGCACCUGAGGCUUUCUAUCCUGCCUUGGAGCUUCGCUUACCUCUGUGUUUUCUUUCUGUUUGUUUUCACGGCGCACCUCACCGGGCCCUCUCCCCACCAGCUCCUUUCUUCUUUGGUUUCGUUCGUCGCACCCUCUGCUCCGCCAUCAAGAAACUCCAACGUCAUGCGCUGCCGUGUGGUGGGAGUUCGAGAACAGGGCACCUCUCAGCCUCCCGCUCGGUUUAUUUGCCAAAGAUGUAAAGCCGUGCUGGGCAGGAGAGUGGGCGUUACCUGCUUCUCUCUCGUUAGGGGCGUCGCUUUCCGACGCGGUAUUGUUUCCGUCCUUUGCCGUUGUUCAACGUUAUUCUUCUCGACACUUCCUCCACCACCCCCUUCCUCAG
rnacentral:misc_RNA from 1 species